GCGAGCCUUCGGAACCAGCCUCGAGGGUGCUGAACCCCGCGCGCCCGCCUCGCCGCGGCCCCCGGGUGGGGGCGUCCACGGCCCGGGUUCCCGGCGGGCUUGGGGCAGGGACGCAGUCCGGAGAUUCCGGGACUGCCCGGCUGCUGCAGCCCGCAGGCUCCUCUCUCCUCCCCGCUUCCCCUCCGCACUGCCUGGGCUAAAGGCGGCCAAGCUGAGGCUCCGAAAGAAAGUAAGUAAGAGUGGGCCGUAGGAGGUGGGAAGGGAGGGACCCCUUCCAGGGCCAUCCCCACCUCAGCCCCCCGGCCCGCCCCUCGCCCCGUGGGAGGGUGAACUAAGUGGGCUGGAGCGGACGGGAGGGAGCUUUUGGGCCCCUUUGUCUCCCCCAGCCGCACUGACACCCCCAUUUUCCACACUGAUUUUCAACGUGAAGCUCAAGUCCUCAAAGAUCUUUCUUGGGGUCUGACUUAGAGGCAGGGGGACAUCCCAGAUGCCGUUGAGUAGGCUGAGAUGGUUUGGAGACUCAUCCUCGCCGGAGGUCCUGCAAGCCACUGAAGUGGCACAGACGCGUGUGCGCGGAGUGGGGCGGUGUGUCGGGCCACAGGCCAAGCCCAAGUCGGCCUCCCAGAGUGUUUGCCACGGUUUGGGCGGGUUAGUCCCCGACGCCCCUUUCAGGUCCCCACAUGUGUUCGGGAAUAAGCCGGGCCCCGCUGGUACCAUCUGGGAACACAAGUUCUUGGGCCGCAGGUGGACGGAGAGAGAAGCUGGGCGCGGAAUUAGUGUUCGUUUUAACACACACAAACACACACACACACACACACACACACACACCUGCACGCACGCGCGCGCAGUCCCUGGGGAGAGGUUCCCCUGGGUGUAGAAACAGAGGCGUUAGAUCUGGAGAAAGAAUUAGAUGCAAGUCUGAGGGCAUCCAGAAGCGCUGUGCUCUACUUAUCCCCGUGUAUACAAGUAAAUUAACCUUUUCCCCAGCUAGACAAAGUCUGUGUAAAUAGUGUGUCUAAAAAGAUGUCUACGUUAUCAGGAGCGGUGACUUGAGGUUUACUGGAUCCCUGCAAGUUGGCAUCAGGACGAGCUUCUAUAGGGUUGCCCACAAAAUGCGCUUCUAGCCCACUUGGGUAUUUAACAGAGAAGCUGAUUUCCCAGAAGAUGGGCUUUGAUGAGGAGAUAAGGCAGUUGUCCCAUUUUGGCAAUGGAGGAAUGUUCACCACAUUUGGGUUUGCUUCACUUGUUGGACAUUGAUUUCGCCAAGUGAUUGCAAAAGUUGGUGAUGGUUGAGGUGGGCAGUUGAUUAAAUUAAUCACUUCUGGUCACAGUGGCUAGGUAAGGCUUCUGUCUUUUUCACUUCCUGAGCCUGGAUAUUAGUGAAGUUAGGUUUUUCCCCAAAGAGAUGACACAUCAGAAUAACUGAAAAGAAUCUGCUAGGAUGUUUGGCCCAGUCCUCAGCUAAAUGUAGAGCCCCCAUGACAUAUUUAACAUUUUCCCCAGGGGCUGUUGUAUACACAUGACUUCUUCAUGCAUGUGAUUGUAAGUCCACUUUGGAUCUCACAUACUUUUUUUUAUCUGACAUUCUUUCUGCUUUGAGGACUUUUAAUAUAAAAUUAAUCAGAAAGCAGUAAGCACUUUAAGACUUUAAACUCAUUAAUAGAUCUCCAGAUGAAUCUCAUCAAAUUUAAAUCACUUGCACAAUUUCAUCUCAUUAGGUAGUUUGAGAAUAAGGACUCGGAUCCAAUCUGGGGUGCUUUCCACUAUCUAACCCUUUCUUCCCAAAUUCCAGUUUUAUAUUCUUUUUCCAAAAUAAAAGUCCUUCUAAAAUCGUAUUUCAGUAGUUUGAGCUCCUACUCUGAUAAAUUCCUGUUAGUAGUUUUGAAACAGGCCUUUCUUAUGGCUUAUACUAAGGCCACUUAAAGGUAAAUUUAUUUUGGUUUUAAAAUACUAUGCAUCUGUUAUAACCUACGACCCUAAGAUAUAGAAAGUUUAUAAAAGAUUACUGAAAUAAGACAUGCUUGUUAUUUCUUGAUAUAUGGAAAUUAGAAUUGAUUUCAUAUACUGUUUGUCCUGAAAGUCAAUAAAUUGGGUCACUUAGGAGAUAGCUUGAGCUUAUUCUUAGUGUUACUGAUAUAAUUUCUAAACAGUUACUAAGCAGUGUUAUACAAAUGGACUAACUUCUGAUUUGUUUUUUC
rnacentral:lncRNA from 1 species